rnacentral:rRNA from 1 species
GACGAACGCUGGCGGCGUGCUUAACACAUGCAAGUCGAACGGAAAGGCCCUGCUUGCAGGGUACUCGAGUGGCGAACGGGUGAGUAACACGUGGGUGAUCUGCCCUGCACUUCGGGAUAAGCCUGGGAAACUGGGUCUAAUACCGGAUAGGAGCCAUUUUUAGUGUGAUGGUUGGAAAGUUUUUUCGGUGUAGGAUGAGCUCGCGGCCUAUCAGCUUGUUGGUGGGGUAAUGGCCUACCAAGGCGGCGACGGGUAGCCGGCCUGAGAGGGUGGACGGCCACAUUGGGACUGAGAGACGGCCCAGACACCUACGGGAGGCAGCAGUGGGGAAGAUUGCACAAGGGGCGCAAGCCUGAUGCAGCGACGCCGCGUGGGGGAUGACGGCCUUCGGGUUGUAAACUCCUUUCGCUAGGGACGAAGCUUUUUGUGACGGUACCUAGAUAAGAAGCACCGGCUAACUACGUG